AUUGAACGCUGGCGGCAUGCCCUACACAUGCAAGUCGAACGGUAACAGGUCUUCGGAUGCUGACGAGUGGCGAACGGGUGAGUAAUACAUCGGAACGUGCCUAGUAGUGGGGGAUAACUACUCGAAAGAGUGGCUAAUACCGCAUGAGAUCUACGGAUGAAAGCCGGGGAUCGCAAGACCUUGUGCUACUAGAGCGGCCGAUGGCAGAUUAGGUAGUUGGUGGGAUAAAAGCUUACCAAGCCGACGAUCUGUAGCUGGUCUGAGAGGACGAUCAGCCACACUGGGACUGAGACACGGCCCAGACUCCUACGGGAGGCAGCAGUGGGGAAUUUUGGACAAUGGGCGCAAGCCUGAUCCAGCAAUGCCGCGUGCAGGAUGAAGGCCUUCGGGUUGUAAACUGCUUUUGUACGGAACGAAAAGCCCUGGGUUAAUACCCUGGGGUCAUGACGGUACCGUAAGAAUAAGCACCGGCUAACUACGUGCCAGCAGCCGCAGUAAAAC
rnacentral:rRNA from 1 species